GCUGACUCUCUUUUCGGACUCAGCCCGCCUGCACCCAGGUGAAAUAAACAGCCUUGUUGCUCACACAAAGCCUGUUUGGUGGUCUCUUCACACAAACGCGCAUGAAAUUUGGUGCCAUGACUCGGAUCGGGGUACCUCCCUUGGGAGAUCAAUCCCCAGUCCUCCUGCUCUUUGCUCCGUGAGAAAGAUCUACCUAGGACCUCAGGUCCUCAGACUGACCAGCCCAAGGAACAUCUCACCAAUUUCAAAUCUGGACCCCACUGAAAAUCGGACUGUUCAACUCAUCUGGCAGCCACUCCCAGAGCCCCUGGAACUCUGGCCCAAGCCUCUCUGACUGACUCCUUCCCAGAUCUUCUCGGCUUAGCAGCUGAAGACUGACACUGCCCAAUCGCCUUGGAAGCCCCCUAGACCAUCACGGAUGCCGAGCUUCGAGUAACUCUCACAGUGGAGGGAACGCGCAUGAAAAAACCAAACAAACAAAAAAAUUUCUUUUGGUAGCAGAAUAAAAAAACAAAAAAAAGGACUUUUUCUUCUGGACUGAACUAUAUUUAAAUCUCAAAGGAUGGACAUCUCACAACCUUCCUACAGCAAGUACUGUGAGAAAAGAUACUAGCGCCAGUCUGGCAGGGGCCUUUUCUAGUCUCAAGCACGCUGAGCAGUCCUACACCUUGCCUUCUGAGAGAGAAGAGGACAGUCCUCAGCCUCCUGAAGCCUGGCAAGGGUGCCUUAGUGAGGACAUCACCUGCAACUCCCAGAUGGAUAGACGAGGCCAUGGAGAGAGGAGAACACCAACCCAUGAGUGACAAGUGCCUGUCAUUGUCAAUGAUGCUGCAAGCACCACGAUGCCCCUUCUUAGCAGGGACCCAGUGGGCCUUACCAGCUUCAUUAUUUUCUAGGCAUGAUCGCAUCCUGUCUCCCAUUUUUGCUAAAAUUCUAUCUAGAGAAAGAGCUCAUUUUUAGCUAAAAAAAAAAAAAUCCUGUUUUAUCUGCUAAAAAAUCACAUAAAAUAACUAUUGGACUGUUUGAAAUGGCGUGGCCUCUGCUCUGACUUAUUAACUGUGAUCUUGACUAAGUUAAGCAGUCACUCUGACCUUACGUUACUCCCUCAAAUUUGAAUAAAAAUAGCAACUUCCUCUACUUAUAAAUUACUUCUAAAAAUUAGAUUCUUGAGAUUCAAAGAUAGGUAAUACCUGCCUUCAAGAAACUAACUCUCAAGGCUGCUGUAUGGAAAUCCUGCCUCCUAACUAGAUUGCACUCUUCUAAAUGCUGUACUACUGCUAUACACAUUCUCCAAAUCAAGUUAAUUUCAAAGUCUUGCUGAAUCUACUUUUUAGAAAUAUCUAAGUCAUGUGUACGUCUUUCCAUUCCUGCAUCCCAGGGGAUUGCAGCCAUCAGCUCACCUCCUCUCCUAAUCCAAAAUGUUCCUAACUGGUCUCCUGCCUUGCCUUUCUCCUGAUCACUUCCUACAACAGAGUGAUCGUGACUUGAAAUGCAAAUUAUAUUGUAUGAGUUAUCUCCCAAAAACAUUCAGCUGCCUAGCUCCCUUAACAUGAAGUCCAAAUUGCCCUAACAUGGAGUCCAAAUUUCGUUAGCAUGGUUUAAGAGUCUCUUCAUGAACAAAAGGCUUCUGUCUUCUCCAGUCAUACCCAAAUCUUUCCUAAUCAAAAGCCAUUUUUAUCAGUUUAAGAACAGAGACAGUUGUUCCAGAUAUAAGGAAGAGCAUUGGCAAAGUUGCAGAUAAUAAUUUAGGUGAGUGUGAUUCAGAGAUCUCAUUAGUGAUGCCUCAGAAUGACUAGGAGACAUGGAUAAAAGGAUAACAAGAAAGAAAAGGAGACCACAAAACCACAGUCCAGAUUGUAGGAGGCUUGGGUUGUGGUAAUGAGCUGGGACUUCUCUGCUGGCUAUCAGGAGUCCUCAUCUAUGAUCUGCUAGAAGAAUAUCAUGAUUAGAACUGCAUUUUAGAAAGUUAAGUCUAGUGGCUGCAGAGCAUACAUAUAGAAGGUAGAGCUUUGAGUCCACAAGAACAUUAUGGUUUAAUAAAACUCUGUGAGAGAGAUUAGAGCACAAACAAAGGCAGUCAUAAUGGAAAUGGAAAGAAAGUUAAAGGCUAAAGACUCCAGAGACAUUUUGAAAAAUGUGGGAAAUUAGGAGAGGAGCUGCAUCAAUCAGGACAUCAGUGUUACUGAUUUGCGAGACUAGGGAAUUAGGAUGUUCUUGAUGAAAGUGAGCAAAGGAAUUUUGCAGAGAUCAGAGUAGAACUUUUUUUUUUCCCUGAAAGCAUUCUGAAAACUGUAAACACCCUACUGCAUAAGAUAUCAUCAUCAUUAUUACUAAGCAGUCCUAUGUUAAUAGCCCUUUGGGUCUAGAGCUUGAAUUAUGCGCUAUACCUUGUACUUGAAAGAAACUAUAUCCUGACUAGUCCAGAUGGAUAUUACUUAACCUGCUUUAAGAUCCUCUAGGGAGGAACAACCACAACAAAUCCAAGAAAGGUCCCCUUCCUAGCAACUGUGCAUCCUUCCAGCUGCCUUAUCAAUGAUAUCAUCCCUUCGAUAUGUUACAGAGUCCAUUUGGACAAUUUUUAAAGGGACUCAUGACAUUCUGGUAAAAGAGAAUUAUGAUUUCUGGACUCUUUAAAAUUCAAAUGUAGGGGGAAAAAAAGCAAGUCUUCUGUUUGAUCAUAAAAGCUAUAAAGAUGCAAAGAGAGAAAGGUCCAUUCUAGCAUUUCAAUAAUAUCUGUUUUCACUGAAAACCUGAGCUGACUUUAAUCAUCUACACUUCAGACUGGGCUAAUACCUCAGAAAGCUGCAAAUACUGUGAACGCUGUCACACUAGCACAAAGCCUUUGCAAAAAUUUCCCCAAAAUACACAGAUUAAAAAGCACAUUUUCUCUCUCUCUGUUUUCCUCUCUCUCUCUCUCUCUCUCACACGCACACACACAUACACAUGCA
rnacentral:lncRNA from 1 species